rnacentral:rRNA from 1 species
UGAACGCUGGCGGCGUGCCUAACACAUGCAAGUCGAGCGGGAGUAUGUGGAGCAGAGAUUCGUCAAAGCAAGACAUACGAGAGCGGCGGACGGGUGAGUAACGCGUAGGUAACCUACCUUAAGCUGAGGGAUAACCCAGGGAAACCCGGGAUAAUACCACAUAAGUGCGGGGGAGUCACAUGGUCCCCUCGCCAAAGAUUUAUCGGCAUAAGAUGGACCUGCGUCUGAUUAGCCAGUUGGUGGGGUAACGGCCUACCAAAGCAACGAUCAGUAGCCGACCUGAGAGGGUGAUCGGCCACAUUGGAACUGAGACACGGUCCAAACUCCUACGGGAGGCAGCAGUGGGGAAUAUUGCACAAUGGGCGCAAGCCCUGAUGCAGCAACGCCGCGUGAGCGAAGAAGGUCUUCGGAUCGUAAAGCUCUGUCCUAAGGGACGAAGAAGUGACGGUACCUUAGGAGGAAGCCCCGGCUAACUACGUGCCAGCCGCCGC